rnacentral:RNase_P_RNA from 1 species
GUUUUUGGAUAAUUGCGCAGUUUCUUGGGUAACCAUGUGAACUGUGAGGAAAGUCCAUGCUCGCGCGGGCUGAGAGUGCCCGCAGUGUUUGUGCUAGGCGAAACAAUAAGCCUGGGUAGGUGUGUCAGACCUAACGGCUGAAUUUUAGCUAAGUUUUCUUAGAAAAUAUGCGACCAAUUCUGUAAAAGUGCCAUAGAGACGAGUUGCUUUGGAAACAUUGCAAGUGGAACGUGGUAAACCCCUCAAGCGAGCAACCCAAACUUAUGGUAGGGGC